CACACACACAAUAAUAUAUACAGAAUAUGUCGACUCCAAUAGUUACCCGUUUAGCCACAUUUUGGAUGUGAAAAUCGAUCUCCACUGGCCACACUCUCUCUAUCACAAAUCAAACAAUAAAUAAUAGAAAUAAAUAAAUAAAUACACACACAAAUUUAUAUAUAUAUCAUCUCUUGCAAUUCUAGCAAGGACUGAAUUUUACUAAACAAGAAAAAGAAAAGGAGAAGAAAAGAAGAGGGCCUGAAUUCAGCCCUCUGCUUCCCUAUCUAUGCCUCCUCUCAGAUCUUGAAUUCAAUCCCUUUUUCAUCUGGGCUUCCACUCUUCCGUGGGUUUUGGAUUGCGCCUGCUUUUGGUUUUCGAUCUGUCGAACACAGCAGAUUGCCUAUUUUUUUAAUCUGAGUAGGUUUGUUGCUUUAAGGUAAUUUGCUAUAAUGGAAAUGGAGCCUGGAAAGCUUUUCAUUGGUGGGAUUUCAUGGGACACCAGUGAGGAGCGAUUGAGGGAGUAUUUUCAGACUUUUGGUGAAGUAGUUGAAGCGGUGAUCAUGAAGGAUCGCACCACUGGCCGUGCUCGCGGCUUUGGUUUCAUUGUUUUUGCUGAUGCUUCUGUUGCUGAGAAAGUUGUCAAGGAAAGGCACGUCAUAGACGGAAGAACUGUAAGUUGUGAUUGCUUUGCUGUUUGUUUGCCAAUGACAUUUCAUAAGAUCGUCAACUUAUUGGUGAAGUUUUUCGUUUGUCAUAUAUCUGACAUAUUUGUUAUAGGCAAUACAUGCGAUCCAGUCAAUACCGUUUCAUAAGAUUACCAACUUAUUGGCGAAGGUUUCUCGAAUGCCUUAAAUCCGAUAUGUUUAUUGCCAAUGGCAAUACAUAGAAACGUUCAAUUUGAUACAAUAACUAUAGAUAACAAAUAAAUAAACUUCCUGUUAGUGCAAUGUAUGGUGUUUGAUUACUUUUUCUUUGGAUCUCGUGACUACGUGCAUAUGAUGGCAUUUUAAUUGUUUUAUACGGCGUUUUAUUACUUUUUCUUAUGAUGUACUGUAUGAUGUCAUUUUAAUUGUUGUAUGCUGUCUUAUGAGCCAAGACAAUGCAGAUUCAUAAAUGACAUUCGUCGCUAAUGUUUUAGCAGUUGUGAUGGGACUGAACGGAGUAUGUAUUUAGUAAAAAAGCCUUUGGAAGAGAUAGUCCGUCUUUCAAAACAAAUGAUUUUUUGACUGUUCAGGAAAUAGGUAAAGGCUAGGAAGCAAGAAACAAUAUUCGGCUAAAUUGCUUCUAUUAGGCUAAGCUAGCAGGUUUUAGCUUGUUUAAACAGCAAUCAACCUAUUUCUUAAACAUAUGAUGGUGCUAAGGGUCUAAGAUAUGAAGAACAUGGAUAAAUUAUGAGGAAUUUCAGAGAUUUGAAGGGACUGGAAUGCACCGCACCAAGUGCUUUCGUCAUUUAGUUUACUUAGCU